GUCCAGCUAUUGCAUUAACAUAUCUACAGAAUUGUGUUAGAGUUAUGAUUUUUUUGUCUUAUAAACUACAUUUCCACUAAAACAUUCUUCUUUGUCUGGAACAGGAUCAUGAAAACAACAGGACUAUAGUGAAAUCAAACGUAUUUGAUUUCGUAGGAUUUAUAAACGCUCGGUUAAAAAUGUUUUUAAAUCUAUCUGCAAGUCUGAUUUAUUCAUGGACAUUUAUAUGGUAGUAUCGGUUUGGCAGCGUAACAAUGAGGAUAUUUCUAUAUUUUUCUACAUGUGUGCAAUUGUUUGUCAAAUCUUCUUUAUAAACAUAAAUGAUAUAAUGUGUAGAAAGCGAAUUCUAUUAUUAACAAUCUAUUUCGAGUCAUGUGAUAUGAAUUGAAUUCACUUUCGUUCCUAAAAUUGCCAUAUAGUUUGUUCGAAUUUAGCUAAAUGCAAUUGAGUUAGAUGUCAAUGUUGACGCUAAGGAUACGAAAUAAAGCUGUAAAGAAAU
rnacentral:misc_RNA from 1 species